rnacentral:rRNA from 1 species
AGCGAACGCUGGCGGUAGGCCUAACACAUGCAAGUCGAACGGCAGCACAGUAAGAGUUUGCUCUUACGGGUGGCGAGUGGCGGACGGGUGAGGAAUACAGCGGAAUCUAUUUUUUCGUGGGGGACAACGUAGGGAAACUUACGCUAAUACCGCAUACGACUUACGGCUGAAAGUAGGGGAUCUUCGUACCUUGCGCGAACGAAUGAGUCGAUGCCGGAUUAGCUAGUUGGCGGGGUAAAGGCCCACCAAGGCAACGAACCGUAGCUGGUCUGAGAGGAUGAUCGGCCACACUGGAACUGGGACACGGCCCAAACUCCUACGGGAGGCGGAGGUGGGGAAUAUUGGACAAUGAGCGAAAGCCUGAUCCAGACAUACCGCGUAGGUGAGGAAGGCCUUCGGGUUGUAAAGCCCUUUUGUUGGGAAAGAAAAGCGGCAGGUUAAAACCCCGCUGUUCUGACGGUACCCAAAGAAUAAGCACCGGCUAACUACGUG